GCCAUGGAGUUGUUCACACAGUCCUGCCAUGCAGUGAUGUCAUUCUUCUGCCCUGACGAUGGAGCUGGAAGCUCAUAUCUGCACAGGUGAAAAAUAAAACAGUUGGGUGUACACUCGGGACAACAAGGGUUUAAAUGCAUCACGUUAGAACUGAAUGGGUGAUUGAAUGUUAUCAAUAUUUUUUAACAGGACUGUUUUUGCCAUGUGCAAAAGAGUAGACUGGGUUGACCUCUUCAUGCUGAGAAGUUCCAGAGGCUGCCGGGCUGCUAGCCUCUCAAACUCGUUCCUCAUGAUUUCAGUCUGAUGGGUGAUAUAUAAGCAUGAGUAUUUGCUUCACAUAAUGUAAUUGUAGAGCAUCAUAGAUUACACAGUUGACAGUGAGUCAGUCUAAAUCCAUAAGCAUAUUACAGCAUGACAUUAUGUGCAUAUUCAUUUAUGGCUUUAUGUUUUAAUAGAAUGUGGAACUGUGUAAGUGAUACUUACUUCAAAGGUAGUGAAAUCAGGUGUGGGUAUAUAAUUGAGAUAGUUCUUUGUAGGUCUGUAUCUGCGAGUCUCCUCUUCUACCAAGGCUGCUGCCUGUGUAUGGAAAUGAAUGCAUAUGAACAGACAGCAUAGUACUAUAAUAACGUUAACCUAGCUAGACUCGUACCUCUUUGAGGGGUGACAUAGCUAGCUACUGUAUGUUAUUGUACGUUAGCCGAUGAUGGCGGUUGCUUGAGGCAUGAUUCUAAAACGACCAGAUUAGCAAGAUAAUGCUUUUAUUAUUGACAGUAGCCUGGUAGCGUUACUUUGCUUCCGUGGCUUGUUCAUGUCUAUCAUAGGUCCUUGGGACAUCACCCCAUUUUACGUUGAGAUUUUAGUCACUUAGUAGACGCUCUUACGCUUCGAUCACACUGAUAGUGUUAUGGUACACCAGCAGUACAUUAAUGGUUGCCAUCCCAAUAAAGUUGACAUGUGAAAUGGUUACGGUUAGGUAAGGGACUGAUUGCACUAACUAUGUCAGUUACUUGCCUGCUAGCUAACUAUAGCUAGACUAGCGAACGUUAGUUAGCAACUGAUAACUAUGCCUAUGGAGCAGACACUUACCGCCUCUCUGACGCCAGCUGCAUCAUAACCCUGGUCAAAAUACGAACCUGAGCCCUAGGACCACACGUCAGGACUACCGGGCAUGCUGACACCUUGCUGUCCCCAGUCCGCCCGGCCUUGCUGCUAUUCCAGUUUCAACUGUUUCUGCCUGCGGUUACGAAACCCCUACCUGUCCCAGACCUGCUGUUUUCAACUCUUAAUGAUCGGCUAUGAAAAGCCAACUGAGAUUUAUUCCUGAUUAUUAUUUGACCAUGCUUGUCAUUUAUGAACAUUUUGAAAAUCUUGGCUCUCUCUAAUUUUCUCCUUCUCUCUUUCUUUCUCUCGGAGGACCUGGGCCCUAGGACCAUGCGUCGGGACUGCCGCCCGUGGUGACUCCUUGCUGUCCCCAGUCCGCCUGGCCUUGCUGCUAUUCCAGUUUCAGCUGUUCUGCCUGCGGUUAUGGAACCGCCACCUGUCCCAGACCUGUUGUUUUUCAACUCUUAAUGAUCAGCUAUGAAAAGCCAACUGAAAAUUAUUCAUGAUUAUUAUUUGACCAUGCUUGUCACUUAUGAACAUUUUUGAACAUCUUGGCAUAGUUCUGUUAUAAUCUCCACCCGGCACAGCCAGAAGAGGACUGGCCACCCCUCAUAGCCUGGUUCCUCUCUAGGUUUCUUCCUAGGUUUUGGCCUUUCUAGGGAGUUUUUCCUAGCCACCGUGCUUCUACACCUGCAUUCUAGCUGUUUGGGGUUUUAGGCUGGGUUUCUGUUCAGCACUUCGAGAUAUUAUCUGAUGUACGAAGGGCUAUAUAAAAUAAAAUUGAUUGA